UACGUAGGGUCCGAGCGUUAAUCGGAAUUACUGGGCGUAAAGCGUGCGCAGGCGGUUCGCUAAGACCGAUGUGAAAUCCCCGGGCUUAACCUGGGAACUGCAUUGGUGACUGGCGGGCUAGAGUAUGGCAGAGGGGGGUAGAAUUCCACGUGUAGCAGUGAAAUGCGUAGAGAUGUGGAGGAAUACCGAUGGCGAAGGCAGCCCCCUGGGCCAAUACUGACGCUCAUGCACGAAAGCGUGGGGAGCAAACAGG
rnacentral:rRNA from 1 species